rnacentral:rRNA from 1 species
GACGAACGCUGGCGGCGUGCUUAACACAUGCAAGUCGAGCGGUAAGGCCCUUUCGGGGGUACACGAGCGGCGAACGGGUGAGUAACACGUGGGUGACCUGCCCUCAGCUCUGGGAUAAGCCUGGGAAACCGGGUCUAAUACUGGAUAUGACUCCAUGACGCAUGUUGUGGGGUGGAAAGCCUUGUGCGGCUGAGGAUGGGCCCGCGGCCUAUCAGCUUGUUGGUGGGGUGANGGCCUACCAAGGCGACGACGGGUAGCCGGCCUGAGAGGGCGACCGGCCACACUGGGACUGAGACACGGCCCAGACUCCUACGGGAGGCAGCAGUGGGGAAUCUUGCGCAACGGGCGAAAGCCUGACGCAGCGACGCCGCGUGAGGGAUGACGGCCU